rnacentral:tmRNA from 1 species
GGGGAUGACUGGCUUCGACGGGGAAGGUUGGUCCUGGACUGCAAGCCGAGCACGCUUUACACCUCGUAAAACUGGAAGCAAACAAUAAGUGCAAACACACGCACAAACUACAGCGCUAUGCCUUUGGCCGCCUAAUAACGGCUAAAA